UACGUAGGUGGCAAGCGUUGUCCGGAAUUAUUGGGCGUAAAGCGCGCGCAGGCGGUUCUUUAAGUCUGAUGUGAAAGCCCACGGCUCAACCGUGGAGGGUCAGUGGAAACUGGGGGACUUGAGUGCAGAAGAGGAAAGCGGAAUUCCACGUGUAGCGGUGAAAUGCGUAGAGAUGUGGAGGAACACCAGUGGCGAAGGCGGCUUUCUGGUCUGUAACUGACGCUGAGGCGCGAAGGCGUGGGGAGCAAACAGG
rnacentral:rRNA from 1 species